GUAAGCUGAAAGACAAAAAAGAGACAAAAACCCUUGCUACUAUUUAACAGCUGACAGACUGAUUCUUGCCUCAUUUAUGUUAAUUGUGGAUCUGAUGCAUUUCUCUUUGAUAAUAUAUUCUGAAUUAUUUGUAUUUUAAGUUUACACAAAAAGCCUUAGGAAUAGUAACUAAAUGUCAGUUUCUCCUCUCAGACUUAUUUUGAACUCUAGACAUAAAUCUAAGACAUAAAAAAAAAAAAAGACUACUACUGUGUAUCUUAGACUCAAAAAAGCUUGGAGGAAACCUCUGAAGGGCAUCUUGUUUAACCGCUGGCCCCAAAGUGGGGCCAAAUUAGGGUUGCUCAGGACCUUUUACAGAUACGGUUUGAUGGAUGUUUCACAACCUUUCCAAGACCCUGCUGCAAUGCAUCACUACUUUCAAGGCUGAUCAUUUCUUCCUAGUAUUUUGGUGCAACUUGUGCUCAUCUUUGCCUAUCAUCCUUUAACUGUUCAUAUUCAAGGAAAGUCUUGACUGUCUUCUCUGUACCCACUGUACUCUGUUCCCAUUAGGAAGGUGGGUUUGUAUUUACUAUGGAGUUCAGCUUAGUCUGAAACCUAAAUACUUCAGAAUCUGAGACCAUGGCAUGAUUUAUUUGGUGUCUUCCCAUCACUGGUUAUGUGCAAUAUUUCCAAAACCAAAAGAAGAUAUUCUAGCACUGUGGAAGCUUACUACAAUACUCCCUUUAAAUCUGGCAAUAAGAAAUUGGAAUAGUGAUGAAGGAGUUAACACCACAGACUUCAAAUUAGGCACAGUUUCAGUGAAAGCCCUCUGAUUGGUACUUGUAUGGGCUUCCAAUGUGAUCACAUUAGUUAUGCUCUAUUGGUAGUCAGUGCUCAGAAAUUGUUCUUGCUCAACUAUCAACUGUUAUUUCAUUAGUCUGAGAAUUCUGGUGCUCUAAAAUGAUGUAGAAGGAAUGUGUGCACUGGACUGGGUUUUAGCUUCAGUGGACAGUGCAUGCCUGCCCUACAUUUUUAGUGUGAGCAAGAUCUGCUUCUUAAAACCUUCCUUGUUUAUUUAGGUUUUUGUCUAAAAAUUAAACUUUUAGUACAGAAGCAACAGCCUGCAAUCCUGCUUGAGAAGGACAGCAGAAAAUAAAGGCAAUAUGCCCAUGUGACUGUAUAUACUUCUAGCAGGGUUGACUUAAUAUUAACUUGGAAUCCUUGCUUUAUAAUUGUUGUUAGAACAAAUGUAUGAAAAUCAUACCUCCCUGGAAACACUUAAUAGUUUGGUUACAGUGUUGUGAUUUUAGUUUCCUCAGAGUCUAUGAAUUUCCCCUAAAUCUGCUCAGAAGACUUUCAGUUAUUCUUUGUGCACACUAAAGGCUUCCCUGCCACUAGUGCUGAGAGCAAGAUAAUUCUUUCCCAGUAUCCCAGUCAUGAGGAAAGAGAAACAAACCAACCUGUUUUAAAAUUAAAAGCAAAGCAGCAGUGAGCAACUGAGGGUAAGUGGCAAAAGAGGAGGAGGAGUAUUUUCUAACACUCAAACACAUGAAAUUAAUAUAUUUUAAAAUAUUUUCUUUAUGCUUCAGGCUGUACAACAGGGCAUCAUUGCUGUAGGCUGUGAAGAAACUGUCAUUAACAUUUCUGAACAAUGCAGCAGUAGCAGGAUGAGCCCAGGGCAGCACCCAUGCAGUCUACAGUGUCUGAAAAAAUAGUCUUUUUGCUUCUAAAAUGUACAGCGAAGAGGAAAUGAAGACUUUUACUGGUUCCUCUGGGAAUAUCCAGAUUUGUGUCAACCCUCUAUGGCUACAUACUGUAAAUAAUUCAUUACUCGCACAAAAGGACAAGAGUGCUCCCUAAUCUUAUUAACUUGAUGUUUCUUAAUGCCCUUUUAAAACCUGUUUUAUAGAAAGAAAGUAUUACAGCUAUAUUUAUAUUUAGCCCUACAUAUGUGUAUAUCAUUCAGAUUAAACAUAGAAUACUUUUACAGUUUUAAUUUCCCAUGGGAUUUGAGCUUCCUGUCUCCGGUUUCUUAUUAACGGAUUGGUCACAGUAGUCCCAGUUUAACACUAUGAAUAAGGUGACCUAAAUCCAUCGAUUAUAAUACAAACUAUUUUUUAUUUUUUGUAUCAAAAUACUGUCACCGACUACGAAAGUUUUCUUUCAAAAUACUUGUUUAAAGAAAUCAAGAAAUGAGCAAAGGAUGACUAGAGAGCACCCUGACAGUAACACAAGACCCUUCUAUCUCUGCAACACAGAGUGAAAAUUGAGAUAAGCUCAUACAGACUUCAAGAGGUUUGAAAUGGAUCUAGAAAUCCCAGGAAAACAGGAUCUUUUAAGAAACUGUCAAGUUGCCCCUAAGCUGGGCCAUUCAAAUUAACAGUUAUUCCCACUUCUCUCAUAAUGUUUUUGUCUGCAGCCAAGAAUAUCAAAGGAUUAAGAAAAUUAAUAGCAUCUAGUGGUAAAAUUAUUAAUAUAACAAUUAAGAGGUCCUUAUGUGAAGUUUGAGUUGUAUGUUUAUAGGCUAGGUUAAUUUUUAAUGGAAAUGUGAUUCCAAUCAGAAGUCAAAUUUGGUUUGUACCACUUCCCAAAGAUGGGCUUUUCCUAAAACUACUCAGGUAGAAGUGAAAGGAAGAAGGUGAAUAUCCUUGAUUUUUCACUGUGGUAUCCAGUUUCCUCCAAGCUAGUAACAGGCUUCUGUGCAGUCUAAUUGUCUUGGGCUUGUUUUGUUGGUAUGCUUGUUUUAAAAUAAAGAACAGGAGUGAGACAGAAAUUAAAAGUAACAAGUAAUGAACCUGUAA